GAAAUGCGAUAAGUAAUGUGAAUUGCAGAAUUCAGUGAAUCAUCGAAUCUUUUAACGCACCUUGCGCUCCUUGGUAUUCCUUGGAGCAUGCCUGUUUGAGUCUCAUGAAAUCUUCAAAGUAAAUCUUUUGUUAACUCAAUUGGUUUCUACUUUGGUAUUGGAGGUCUUUGCAGCUUCACACCUGCUCCUCUUUGUUCAUUAGCUGGAUCUCAGUGUUAUGCUUGGUUCCACUCGGCGUGAUAAGUUAUCUAUCGCUGAGGACACUGUAAAAGGUGGCCAAGGUAAAUGCAGAUGAACCGCUUCUAAUAGUCCAUUGACUUGGACAAUACUUUUAUGAUCUGAUCUCAAAUCAGGUAGGACUACCCGCUGAACUUAAGC
rnacentral:misc_RNA from 1 species